GAUGAACGCUGGCGGCGUGCUUAACACAUGCAAGUCGAACGGUGAACGAGGGAGCUUGCUCCCUCCGGAUCAGUGGCGAACGGGUGAGUAACACGUGAGCAAUCUGCCCCGGACUCUGGGAUAAGCGUUGGAAACGACGUCUAAUACCGGAUACGAGGCGUGGGGGCAUCCCCAACGCCUGGAAGAACUUCGGUCCAGGAUGAGCUCGCGGCCUAUCAGGUAGUUGGUGAGGUAAUGGCUCACCAAGCCUACGACGGGUAGCCGGCCUGAGAGGGUGACCGGCCACACUGGGACUGAGACACGGCCCAGACUCCUACGGGAGGCAGCAGUGGGGAAUAUUGCACAAUGGGCGAAAGCCUGAUGCAGCAACGCCGCGUGAGGGACGACGGCCUUCGGGUUGUAAACCUCUUUUAGCAGGGAAGAAGCGAAAGUGACGGUACCUGCAGAAAAAGCACCGGCUAACUACGUGCCAGCCGCCGCGGUAAUAC
rnacentral:rRNA from 1 species